GGAUCGUUGGCAGAGAGGCUUAAUGCAUCAUCUUGGAAAGGUGACGGGUGUAAAAGCCCCGUAGGUUCGAAUCCUACACGAUCCGCCA
rnacentral:tRNA from 1 species